AAGGGCACCACAAGAACGCGUGGAGCAUGUGGCUUAAUUUGACUCAACGCGGGAAAUCUUACCGGGUCCGGACACACUGAGGAUUGACAGGCAAUAUUAAUACACACACACACACACGCGCUCUCACGUGCUGUUGUGUGUGCUGUAGUGCGUAUUAUGUUAAAUAUGCUAGUCCUUUCAUGAUUAUGUGAUAGGUGGUGCAUGGCCGUUCUUAGUUCGUGGAGUGAUCUGUCUGCUUAAUUGCGUUUCACUAAGGGCCUAUACAAUUUACGUAUGUCAGUUAUUUUUUUACACUUUGACCCCUCUGCUUACGUUUCAUUACGCUGCAGUGCGUGUGUCUUUGUUCUAUAAAUUAACUCAUACAAUUUAGGUCCUGAAAGCAACGAACGUGACCGCAACCUCUUGUUGCUUUCUUUAUGUGGGUAUUAACUACACUCACACACAUAUACACACAUGCGUGUAAAUGUGCGCGAAAGCUUUUUAAACUAGAGGGACCGCUGUUAUCUUCUUAAACCAGAGGAAGGUUGCGGCAAUAACAGGUCUGUGAUGCCCUUAGAUGUUCCGGGCUGCACACGUGCUACAAUGAUUAUUGCAGUGAGCAUCUCAUUUUUUUUAUACACCGCAUGCGCGAGUCCAUUUAUUUAGCAUCGUGUAUUUACGUACGCGUGUUUUUUUUAAAUGUGUAUCUCUGCGCGCGGUAAAGCCUGCUUCGAGAGUAAGUGGGUAAUCAAUUAGAAGUAAUGAUUUCCUAUUUUUUUAUAUUCUGCACACAUAUAUACGGCAGCUAUACCCGGGUAACCUUGUUGUUACUUUUGUGCGUAUAGUUGUACCCUUUUUCCGUAUGUGCGAUUGUCAAUUCAUGGUGGGGACAGACCAUUGUUAAUUGUUGGUCUCGGUCUUAACUAGGAAUGCCUUGUACGGGUCUUUGGUUCAACAAACCACCCGGAAUACGUCCCUGCCCUUUGUACACACCGCCCGUCGCUYUUACCGAUGGACUUCUNUGUGAGUUUGAGGGACUGGGAACGCUGUAAAUAUAUUUUUUUUUUACGAAUAUAUUCUUAUGCACACCUAUGGAAACUUAAACGAACAGUGUGGUCUAAAGGAAAGAGAAGUCGUAACAAGGCAUCAGUAGGUGAACCUGCAGAAGGAUCA
rnacentral:rRNA from 1 species